GCUGGAAAUGACAGAGGAAAGGCCAGGGAGUCACAGUGGCCGUCCACAUCAGUGAUUCUUAUCUGGGGUGGGGGGUGGGUUUCACCCGAGGGAGGGCUGGGGGCAUGGACCCCCAGGCAGGCCUAUCCAAUCAUCUGAGGGGUGAGCAGUGUUCAGCUCAGAAAAAGUAAGGGGGGUAAAAAAGCAAUCUCUAAAAGGAACACAGACAAUAGGAAAAGAGGAAACCGAGCCCCAAAGAUGCUUCUGAUAGGCCGCCUUGGGGUCCUGCAUCCUCGGGUGAGAAUCACUGGUGGACGCGGGAGGAUGGAGAGCCGGCAGACAUGUGGAGUGCGAGGGGAAGACGCAUGUGCAGCAGGGCUGAUGGAGGCAUCAGGGUCAAGACGGUCAGGUGUGGGAACACAGUUCCCGACAGACCAGGACAAGGAUGACAGCGAGCAAAUGGAUGUAGCCGAAAAGGCACCGGGACCAUGGUGGUGGAGCUGGGGUUUCCAACGCCUCGGUCCCAGACUCGAGGACUCAGGUGGAGGAGUGAGGCCCAGGGAAGGGCCCAGUGACACAGAGGACGUGGGCUGUGUGGGUGAGAGCAGAGAAUCUGUUGUCACGGGGAGGGAAGGUGCAAAGGGGAAUGGAGACAGCGUGGAAGGAGAGCAGUUUGAAGACAUGGGUGCUAAGGAGGGAGGAGGCGGGAGGAGGUUGGGACUGACAGGAGCACCCAGGAGGAGCAGAGGAGCUGGGUCUCGGGCAGGGCAGGAGAGUCAGGUUGAGACUGGGUGCGUUUGUACCAGUGGGACGGGGGGGAUGAGGGUGGGCAGGUGGAGUAGGGACAGGAGUGAGUGCUGAUGACAAAACUGCUGUGGUGACAGGAAGAGGGUAGGAAAUUCACAGGCACAUGUUCCCCAGAGUGUUUUCACAAGAAUGUGAAAGAAAGGACGCAAAGGGAACUGAGAAGGUUUUGGGGAGUCAGGGUCGUGGGGUGUUGGAAGGUACCCAUAGCCUGGGCCACUGCGAUGUGGACAAUGAUAGCUGGGCAGGGCAGGUGGAUUCAGUGCAGUAUGUGUGAUGCAGAGAUGGCUGCAUCUGGCGGAGCAGUGGGUGCGGGGCCAGGUCAAGAAGGGAGGAGGCACCUGAGAACACGACUUAGGCCAGUGGGAGAAUCACAGAUUGUGCUGAGAGAAUGCAGGAGGGUGCAGGUGGGACGGUACCGUGCUAUGCAGUAGAGGAGGAAAGCAGGAGAAACGACCAACCUGGGCCCCAGGGGCUCACUGCUGGGACAUGAAGGGAUGAGGCUGCAACACAUGGGAGAGGAGGACAGAGGAGAGGUGUUCCCUAAAGGGCAAGAAGAAUGAGUCGGAGCAGGCAAUGGAGCCCAGCAGCAACAAGAGGAGAGCUUGUUGAGAGCAGGAGAGACGCACUGCAGUAAAGGAGGCACGCCAGGCACCAAGAGGGAGGGAGAGGAUGCAGAGAAUCCAGGGACUUUACCCCAGAUGGGGCAAAGUGUGUGACCCAGUUCAUGGAUGACAAAGCAUAGUGUGGGUAAGACAAGCAAGGAAUGAAGGACAGGUGGGAGGAUGGCAAUAGACAAGGAGGAUUAGAAGAUGCUGGCACCUUGGAAAAGCUGGGGACCACAGUGUCAAUGAAGGGCACAGGAAAUGAUGGAAGGCCAGGUGGAUUGACUUUGAGACAGGAAACAACUGUCUCCAGCACAGUAGAACCAAAAAUGCAGGAUGGUUAAGGGUGACUUAAGAUAACAGAUGGAUCCAAUGCAGCACAUUGUGGAUAAAAAGGAUGGCAAUGUUGGCAGCAAGGGCAGGGCAGGAAGGGAGCUGACAUCAAGGAAAUGACUGCAGAGUGCAGUCAUUGACUUAGAAGUGGCAGAGGAGGGAGUGGAAGCUGAAGAUGAAGCUGAGGGUCUCUGAAAAAUAACAGUAGGGGGAUGUGCAGUACAUCUUAACUAGAAAAACAGAAACUGCUGUCAAGUCCUCAAGGCAUGAUGUCAGACUCAAGAUGGGUCCAGGGCGUUGAUGGACAUAAAAAAGGACAGAAGGUGCAUGAUAGGGGAGAAUCUCAUGAAUUUGAGGGCCUCAACAUUGGUAAAGGGGCUGAGUGAAUAGAGGGGAGGCAGAAUUCAGAGUCUCAAACUGGGAUGUCGGCACAUCUCAGGACACGGUGGUGGUAUGCCUGGUAUUAAGACCAGACCACAGAGGCAGAAUGAAGCAAUAGCUCCGGCAGCCUUUAGGAGAAAGUGGGUUAAGGGCCAAAGUGACUGGUUAAACAAAGGAAGGUGGUCAGCACUGCACAUUAAUAUGGCACCUGCGUAAAAACCACAGACAGGUAACCUUAGGGACUUCACAGUGGACUCAAGCAGACUGAUCCCAGAUUGUAGGUAGAAGUGUGUUUGCAAAGGCCAGAGGAGCUGUUAGGAAACAAUGCGAAGGAGACAAUUUGCAACAAUCACUGCAUCCACGUUUCUGCUGUUUAAGCAUGGCUGAAAGGAUGGAGGUAUAGCUUGUAAUGCAAAAUAUACGCAGAGGUUCAUAGUGAAGCUGAGGAGGAAGGCCUUCAAAAGUUAAGUGGGAGAUGUUUAGGUCAGUAGCAAAUGGGCCCAGCGGGACAGAGUAUGCCGAGUUUGGAGAGGGUCAGGGUGUUGGGUGCUGGGAUGAGGGCUUCAUGUUUGGAAGACUCAAGGUAGAGAGUAAGAGAGGAGGAAAGGUAGAACAGGAUGGAGGGCACGACUUGUGUAAGAAGAAGUCUUAAACUGUAAACGUGGGGGUAGUGAAGGUAGUGUGGCCAAGAGGAAAUGGUGGAUCCAGAUGGGCUCGAUGGGUAGCAGAUGGGCAGGCACGAUGGCAGGGGUGCAUCAGCUCACUGGGGCCAUAUCCGAGGUAAAUGGAAAUAAUGGAGGUGAGGAAAUGAGGAAGAGAAGGAAGUGGCGGGACUGGCUGUGGAGUUUUGUGGGAACCUUCUUGAUGGAA